AUGUUAGCGGCGGACGGGUGAGUAACACGUGGGUAACCUGCCUGUAAGACUGGGAUAACUCCGGGAAACCGGGGCUAAUACCGGAUGCUUGUUUGAACCGCAUGGUUCAAACAUAAAAGGUGGCUUCGGCUACCACUUACAGAUGGACCCGCGGCGCAUUAGCUAGUUGGUGAGGUAAUGGCUCACCAAGGCGACGAUGCGUAGCCGACCUGAGAGGGUGAUCGGCCACACUGGGACUGAGACACGGCCCAGACUCCUACGGGAGGCAGCAGUAGGGAAUCUUCCGCAAUGGACGAAAGUCUGACGGAGCAACGCCGCGUGAGUGAUGAAGGUUUUCGGAUCGUAAAGCUCUGUUGUUAGGGAAGAACAAGUACCGUUCGAAUAGGGCGGUACCUUGACGGUACCUAACCAGAAAGCCACGGCUAACUACGUGCCAGCAGCCGCGGUAAUACGUAGGUGGCAAGCGUUGUCCGGAAUUAUUGGGCGUAAAGGGCUCGCAGGCGGUUUCUUAAGUCUGAUGUGAAAGCCCCCGGCUCAACCGGGGAGGGUCAUUGGAAACUGGGGAACUUGAGUGCAGAAGAGGAGAGUGGAAUUCCACGUGUAGCGGUGAAAUGCGUAGAGAUGUGGAGGAACACCAGUGGCGAAGGCGACUCUCUGGUCUGUAACUGACGCUGAGGAGCGAAAGCGUGGGGAGCGAACAGGAUUAGAUACCCUGGUAGUCCACGCCGUA
rnacentral:rRNA from 1 species